rnacentral:rRNA from 1 species
UACGGGGGGGGGCAAGCGUUUGUUCGGAAUUACUGGGCGUAAAGGGCUCGUAGGCGGCCAACUAAGUCAGACGUGAAAUCCCUCGGCUUAACCGGGGAACUGCAUCUGAUACUGGAUGGCUUGAGUUCGGGAGAGGGAUGCGGAAUUCCAGGUGUAGCGGUGAAAUGCGUAGAUAUCAGGAGGAACACCGGUGGCGAAGGCGGUUCUCUGGGCAUGUCCUGACGCUGAGGAGCGAAGUGUGGGGAGCGAACAGG